CCACGGCCCUAGCCCCGCCCAUUUCCCGGUGACCACGCCCCCAAUGCGCUGACCACGCCCCUACCUGUAGCUCCGCCCCUCCUGGGCCCCACGUGGGCGAUGACGUCAUCGGUGAUGUCACGGCGCGGGCACAGCGGUUGCUCCUCUGCGGGGCUGAUGGUGUCACUGAUGACGUCAUCCUUUGGGGUGAUGUCAUCGUGCUCAGGUGUGACAUCACGGCCCGGACUUGCGGCUGUGAUGUCAGCACCGGGUGUGACAUCAUCACCAGGGUCGCCUCCAAGGGUGACGUCAUCGAUGAGGUCACCUCCGUGGAUGAGGUCAUCACCGCCCAUCUCCCCAUGGUAAGGAGUGAUGGUUUCAUCCGUGAUGACGUCAUCAGUGAGGUCAGCCAAGUAGGUGAUGUCAUCAGUGAGGUCAGCCCCGUGGAUGACGUCACCAAUAUGGACAUCCCUGCCUGCAGAGGUGAUGGCCUCGCUCAUAAUGACGUCAUCAGUGACGUCACCCCAAUUGAUUACAUCAUCUGUGAUGUCAUAUCCAUGGGUGAUGUCAUCAGUGAUGUCGUAUCUGUGAGUGACGUCAUCAGCGUGGACGCCCUCGUGGAAAGAAGAGAUGGUUUCACCCAUCGUGACGUCAUCAAUGAUGUCACGCCCGUGGCUGACAUCAUUGGUGCGGGUGUCCCCAUGGAAAGAAGCGACCGUUUCAUCCGUGAUGACAUCAUCAGUGAUGUCACCUCCAGGGAUGACAUCAUGGGCGUGGUCGUCCCCAUGGAAAGAAGCGACCGUUUCAUCCGUGGUGACGUCAUCAGUGACAUCACCACCAGGGACAACACCAUCAGCCUGGUCACCUCUGGGGAGGGAGCAGAUGACGUCAUCUCCACUGAUGAUGUCAUCAUCGAUGUCACUCCCGGGCACGGCACCACCCAUGCGCUCACCCUCAGGGAGGUGGGGAGUGACAUCACCCGCAGCCAUGACGUCACCACCGGGCUCUCCUCCGGGGAGAAAGGAAGUGACGUCAUCGCCGUCGACGAGCUCGGCCACGACGUCACCCCCCGCCACCGCCGAGGUGACGUCGCCCUCAGGGCUGACGUCACCGGGAAGCGCAGCUGUGACGUCGCCGCCCCCCCGCGACACCGCGCGGUUGGGCGGCAAUGGCGUCAGCGAUGACGUCAUCGUCGCCGGGGCCGUCCUCCAGCGGCGGGGCCGUCACCGUGAUGGUGAUGACGUCACCGGCACCGCGCGCGCCCUCAACGCCCCCAACCCUUCCCGACGUCCCC
rnacentral:lncRNA from 1 species